GUAGGGGUUAGGGUUUAGGGACAUGGACUGUUCUGUAGUGUUGUGGUUAGGGGUUAGGGACAUGGACUGUUCUGUAGUGUAGUGGUUAGAGACAUGGACUUUUCUGAAGUGUAGGGGUUAGGGACAUGGACUGUUCUGUAGUGUAUCGGUUAAGGGUUAGGGACAUGGACUGUUCUGUAGUGUAGGGGUUAGGGGUUAGGGACAUGGACUGUUCUGUAGUGUAGGUGUUAGGGACAUGGACUGUUCUGUAGUGUAGGGGUUAGGGGUUAGGGACAUGGACUGUUCUGUAGUGUAGGUGUUAGGGACAUGGACUGUUCUGUAGUGUAGAGGUUAGGGACAUGGACUCUUCUGUAGUGGAGGGGUUAGGGGUUUGGGACAUGGACUGUUCUGUAGUGUAGUGGUUAGGGAUAUGGACUGUUCUGUAGUGUAGGGGUUAGGGGUUAGGGACAUGGACUGUUCUGUAGUGUAGGGGUUAGGGGUUAGGGACAUGGACUGUUCUGUAGUGUAGGGGUUAGUGGUUAGGGACAUGGGCUGUUCUGUAGUGUAGGGGUUAGGGACAUGGACUGUUCUGUAGUGUAGGGGUUAGGGACAUGGACUGUUCAGUAGUGUAGUGGUUAGGAUAUGGACUGUUCUGUAUGUAGGGGUUAGGGGUUAGGGACAUGGACUGUUCUGUAGUGUAGGGGUUAGGGGUUAGGGACAUGGACUGUUCUGUAGUGUAGGGGUUAGUGGUUAGGGACAUGGACUGUUCUGUAGUGUAGGGGUUAGGGGUUAGGGACAUGGACUGUUCAGUAGUGUAGGGGUUAGGGACAUGGACUGUUCUGUAGUGUAGUGAUUAAGGACAUGGACUGUUCUGUAGUGUAGGGGUUAGGGACAUGGACUGUUCUGUAGUGUAGUGGUUAGGGACAUGGACUGUUCUGUAGUGUAGGGGUUAGGGGUUAGGGACAUGGACUGUUCUGUAGUGUAGUGGUUAGGGACAUGUACUGUUCUGUAGUGUAGUGGUUAGGGACAUGGACUGUUCUGUAGUGUAGGGGUUAGGGGUUAGGGACAUGGACUGUUCUGUAGUGUAGGGGUUAGGGGUUAGGGACAUGGACUGUUCUGUAGUGUAGUGGUUAGGGACAUGGACUGUUCUGUAGUGUAGGGGUUAGGGGUUAGGGACAUGGACUGUUCUGUAGUGUAGGGGUUAGUGGUUAGGGACAUGGACUGUUCUGUAGUGUAGGG
rnacentral:lncRNA from 1 species